rnacentral:rRNA from 1 species
AACGAACGCUGGCGGCAGGCUUAACACAUGCAAGUCGAGCGCCCCGCAGGGGGAGCGGCAGACGGGUGAGUAACGUGUGGGAAUCUACCUUUUGCUACGGAAUAACUCAGGGAAACUUGUGCUAAUACCGUAUGUGCCCUUCGGGGGAAAGAUUUAUCGGCAAAGGAUGAGCCCGCGUUGGAUUAGCUAGUUGGUGAGGU